ensembl:lncRNA
UUUUCAUUUAUUAAAGUCCCCAGCUACAAAUCAAAUCAAAUUGUAUUUGCCACUUGCACCAAAUACAACAGAUGUAGACCUUACAGUGAAAUGCUUACUUAUAAGCCUCUUAAACAACAAUGCAGUUUUAAGAAAAAUACCCCCAAAAUAAUAAAUACAAGUAACUAAUAAUUAAAGAGCAUCAGCAGUAAAAUAACAAUAGCGAGGCUAUAUACAGGGUGUACCGGUACAGAGUGAAUGUGGAGGCUAUAUACAGGGGGUACCGGUACAGAGUCAAUGUGGAGGCUAUAUACAGGGUGUUACGGUACAGAGUCAAUGUGGAGGCUAUAUACAGGGUGUUAUGGUACAGAGUCAAUGUGGAGGCUAUAUACAGGGGGUACCGGUACAGAGUCAAUGUGGAGGCUAUAUACAGGGUGUUACGGUACAGAGUCAAUGUGGAGACUAUAUACAGGGUGUUACGGUACAGAGUCAAUGUGGAGGCUAUAUACAGGGGGUACCGGUACAGAGUCAAUGUGGAGGCUAUAAUACAGGGGGUACCGUUACAGAAUCAAUGCGGAGGCUAUAUACAGGGGGUACCAGUACAGAGUCAAUGUGGAGGCUAUAUACAGGGGGUACCGUUACAGAAUCAAUGUGGAGGCUAUAUACAGGGGGUACCAUUACAGAGUCAAUGUGGAGGCUAUAUACAGGGGGUACCGGUACAGAGUCAAUGUGGAGGCUAUAUACAGGGGGUACCAUUACAGAGUCAAUGUGGAGGCUAUAUACAGGGGGUACCGGUACAGAGUCAAUGUGGAGGCUAUAUUUCCAGGGGGUACCGGUACAGAGUCAAUGUGGAGGCUAUAUUUCCAGGGGGUACCGGUACAGAGUCAAUGUGGAGGCUAUAUUUCCAGGGGGUACCGUUACAGAAUCAAUGCGGAGGCUAUAUACAGGGGGUACCAUUACAGAGUCAAUGUGCAGGGGUGCAGGUUAGCCGAGGUAAUAUGUACAUGUACAGUUGAUGUCGGAAGUUUACAUACACUUAGGUUGGAGUCAUUAAAACUUGUAUUUUCAACCACUCCACAAAUUUCUUGUUAACAAACUAUAAGUUUUGGCAAGUCAGUUAGGACAUCUACUUUGUGCAUGACACAAGUCAUUUUUCCAACAAUUGUUUACAGACAGAUUACUUCACUUAUACACUGUAUCACAAUUCCAUUGGGUCAGAAGUUUACAUACAUCUUCUCCUGAGUCUGACUAGGGCCCCCUUAUUGUUCCUCUUCUCCUGAGUCUGACUAGGGCCCACUUCUUCCUCUUCUCCUGAGUCUGACUAGGGCCCCCUUAUUGUUCCUCUUCUCCUGAGUCUGACUAGUGCCCACUUCUUGUUCCUCUUCUCCGGAGUCUGACUCGGGCCCACUUCUUGUUCCUCUUCUCUGGUGUCAGUGUUGUGGUGCCGCCCCCAGGAUGAAUAGAGCUGGAAGUUCAAACAGAAGAUCCAGGUUUCAUGAUGAGAACCGCUGAUCUAAUGUCCAAAAGGAAUUUUCAGCUGUAGGUAAUAAUACAAUAAACAUUCUGAGCAAAUAAUGUAAGAAUGAAACCCCCCCCAAAAAACUGCCAUGGUGGCUAGGAGGUAGAAAUAGGGGGACCGUGUCUUCAGCUGAGACGCGCUAUAAUCAUAUUUGGUUAGGCACAACAGUGGUAGGCUUGAUUACCAACAACGACGAGACGGCCUACAGGGAGGAGGUGAGGGCCCUCGGAGUGUGGUGUCAGGAAAAUAACCUCACACUCAACGUCAACAAAACUAAGGAGAUGAUUGUGGACUUCAGGAAACAGCAGAGGGAACACCCCCCUAUCCACAUCGAUGGAAC